GAGUUUGAUCUUGGCUCAGGACAAACGCUGGCGGAAUGUAUUAGGCAUGCAAGUCGUACGAACCUUCGGGUUAGUGGCGAACGGGUGAGUAACACGUGGGUAACCUGCCUCGUAGUGGGGAAUAACUCGCCGAAAGGCGAGCUAAUACCGCAUAACACCCCUGGUGAGAUUCCAGGUGGUAAAAGCUCCGGCGCUAUGAGAGGGGCCCGCGGUCGAUUAGCUAGUUGGUGGGGUAAUGGCCUACCAAGGCGACGAUCGAUAGCUGGUCUGAGAGGAUGGUCAGCCACACGGGGACUGAGAUACGGCCCCGACUCCUACGGGAGGCAGCAGCUAAGAAUCUUGCGCAAUGGGCGAAAGCCUGACGCAGCAAUUCCGCGUGGGGGACGAAGGCCCUCGGGUCGUAAACCCCUUUUACG
rnacentral:rRNA from 1 species